UACGUAGGUGGCAAGCGUUGUCCGGAUUUACUGGGUGUAAAGGGCGUGCAGCCGGGCUGACAAGUCAGAUGUGAAAUCCCGCGGCUCAACCGCGGAACUGCAUUUGAAACUGUCAGUCUUGAGUACCGGAGAGGUCAUCGGAAUUCCUUGUGUAGCGGUGAAAUGCGUAGAUAUAAGGAAGAACACCAGUGGCGAAGGCGGAUGACUGGACGGCAACUGACGGUGAGGCGCGAAAGCGUGGGGAGCAAACAGG
rnacentral:rRNA from 1 species